CAAACACGCUAAAAAUAUAAAGUAAAAUGACACAAACAAAUAAAAAGGUUAUGAAACCAGAUAUUUAACAAAAAGGUUGAUACAAUCGUUACCCGAGUGUUUUAAUCAUUCAAAAUGUUUCCGAAAAUAGAAUAUAACAAAUAAAAUGUUGCUUCCAUCUGUUACGUAUGUGUUGAUACAAAUGUCUGCAUUGAAUAUGUAUCCGAUUUCUAAAUCACAGUGUAUUUUCUAAAACUUAAAUCCACACUGCGGUUAUUUGACGAAAGAACCAUUCCAGUUGUUAGAUUUUGCAGUACUUGACAGUCCUUUUAAUUUCUUUUUCCGUGUGACUUCAAAUAUUCAUUUUAAUUUCGUUUUCCGUGUAACUUCAAAUAUUCAUUUUCCUUAUUCAUUCUUACCAUUAUAUUAUGUGAUUGUAUAAGUUAUAAAGCUUCGAAGUAAACAAAUUGAUUAAGAUAGAAAACAUUGUAUUUGAUUCAAAUUUAUAAAAUUAAAGAAAAAUCCUAUAGCUUCAUUUACUCUCGAAGGAAACUUUGUCCGUCCAGCGAAAACAUUAAAAUAUGUAUUUCAUGAAAACUUGCCUUUUUAAAUUUGAAAAACAAUUUGCAUUGGCCAAUAUGAAACUUGCGUUCUUGGAUUGAGUCCUGAAAGUAUUGGCGAACAUCUACCAAGACAAGCCAUCAAAAAAAUAACCAUCGAAUAAGAAUGUAACCACGGUUCUACAGGAUUUAUUGAGUACAUUUAUUGUUAUUAUUGAAUCCUCGCCAAUCAGCAAGGAGAUGGUUGUCCCCGACAAAAAUAUAAGAUCUAUAAAACAAAAUAUAAAACAAACAACAUAAGAAGUUAAUGUACUAACCAUACAAGCAAAACAUCGUCUAAUCAUACUGUUAUUCAAACAAGGUCUAUCUAUUGUCAAGCUAUCAACAUUAUUCAUUUUAAAAGACCUUGACCUCACGAAAUAAUUCUUACAUUGCUUAAUUGAUAUAAGUAAAGUUUUUUGAGGCGGGCUACAUUUCAU
rnacentral:lncRNA from 1 species